CCUACGGGAGUCAGCAGUGGGGAAUAUUGCACAAUGGGGGGAACCCUGAUGCAGUGACGCCGCGUGGGUGAGGAAGUACUUCGGUAUGUAAAGCCCUAUCAGCAGGGAAGAAAAUGACGGUACCUGACUAAGAAGCCCCUGCUAACUACGUGCCAGCAGCCGCGGUAAUACGUAGGGGGCAAGCGUUAUCCGGAUUUCCUGGGGGUACAGGGAGCGUAGACGGGUUGCCAAUUCUGAUGUGAAAGGCCGGGGCUCAACCCCGGGACUGCAUUGGAAACUGGCAUGCUGGAGUGCCGGAGGGGCAAGAGGAAUUCGUGGUGGAGCGGUGAAAGGCGUAGAUAUUAGGAGGAACACCGGGGGCGAAGGCGGCUUGCUGGACGGUAACUGACGUUGAGGUUCGAAAGCGUGGGGAGCAAACAGGAUUAGAUACCCGUGUAGUC
rnacentral:rRNA from 1 species